rnacentral:lncRNA from 1 species
UAGGAACGUCACCAAUUGACUUAAGUCAAAUUUUGACUUAAGUCAUGACUUAAGUCAAAUUUUGACGUAUACGUCGACUGCGACUGAAAUAAAAUUUAUGCGUGACUUUUACGAUGACGUUUGACGUGAAAAAAAUUUGUAAUCUUAAAAAAAGUCAAAAUAAAAACGUCAUCUGGCAAUGUUGACGAACAAUGCCGAGGAUCGGAAGAUUUUUUCGUCUGUAAUUUUCGUAAAACAUAUCAGUUGUCAUCAAAAGUCAUGACAAUGGCGUCUACUACUAUAGAGAAAGAUUCGUGGACUGAAUCUGGUGUCUUUAGUUUUUUUAAUUUCACUCAAGCCGUUAUUAAGUGUUUUACUAUUGACACAUCUCUUACUCGUCUUGAACAAAAGGAGAAGAAAGCUUUAUUGGGAACUGAAUUCGUAGCCGGCAAGUGCAAAACGUGUGGCUGGGAGUCAAAGGUGCAUUUUGGAAAUCCCUCUAAUUGGGUUCGCCAUCUUAAGCUUCAACAUGGUGUAGCUUUCGAUGCUUAUAAAGAGGCUAUGGCAAACAAAAAAAAAAGACAGAAAGAGACGUCGGUCAGCUGAUUCCUCUUACUUGCCGACUAAUAAAAAGGCCAGACAGCCACAAGAAACAAUUGAUGUAGCACUUGAUCUAAACACAAUCUCUAGGAAAAAAGAAAAGAUAGAAAAGGCUAAACAUUUAGAACAAGAACAUCAACUUCGUGUAGACAUGCGUAUUUUUCAAUAUGUUGUUGGUAGUUGUCUACCUUUGAGUACAGUUGAGAACAUUCUUUUUCGAAACGUCUGCACUGAAAUUAAUCCCAAAGUGAAUGUGGUGUGUACUAAAACGUUGAAGAAAACUAUUUUGCAACAAUAUUUAAACUAUAAAGCUAGUUUGAGGAAGAGGUUCAGCAAUGCAGUGGAUGUUUGUUUAACGGCUGAUGCGUGGGGAUCGAAAAGACGAAGUUUCUUGGGCGUAACAGCACAUUGGCUUGAAAGUAAAGGAGAAACGGGCGAGAUGACAAGGUGUUCUGCUGCUCUUGCUUGUAAAAGAUUUCUAGGAUCGCAUACAUACGAAAAAAUUGCGGCUUUGCUCAACAACAUUAUGGACGAUUUCAGUCUUCAUGGGAAGGUUAACUAUGUAGUGACCGACAAUGGAUCCAAUUUUGUUAAGGCCUUCACUGAAUUUUCCGUUGAGAAUCAAUUGACUCAUGAUGAUGUGGAUGACGAUCCUGAAUUGAAUGAAUGAAUCAACGAGUCUACUUACAUCUUGGGCCAAUACGUGACCGAGUCUUAGAGAAAGUGGAUAAAAGAUUUGGUAAACUCUUUGAGGAUCCUUGGUAUUUGAUGGCAGCACUUACUCAUCCGUGCUUUAAGGCACAUUGGAUAAAAGACAGAAGGAGCCAAGAAGAAGCCAAAAUAAAACUCAGGCAGCUGAUCCAGGACUCUACGUGUUCACCAGUUUUGGAAAAAAGCAAAACAUCCUUAGCCGAAGAGUUUUUGCUGUUUGAUGAAAUUCAACCUUCAGGCAGACCGGAUGACGAGGUAGACCGAUUUUUAAAAGAUCGCGACACCUCUAUAGGAAUGCUUGAUAAUUAUCCACAGAUUAAAUCUUUGUUUGUAAAAUAUAAUACUGUCAUUCCAACUAGCGCUCCAGUAGAGCGUCUUUUUAGCUUAGCAGCAUUAAUUUUAACAAUAAGAAGAAAUAAGUUGUCCGAUUCAAUGUUGGAAAUGUUAAUAUUUCUAAAAAUUGCUUUAAACUUGUAAAAACCACCUGUCAAAUAGCGUAAAAAUACAUGACUUAUUUUGUGACUUAA